rnacentral:lncRNA from 1 species
AGUCUCAUAUAAAUAGACCAUAUAUAACCCUCAUACGGGGAGCAUUGAGCAAUACUGUUUGUGUGUGGAUCACACUUUUUAAAAGCCCCACAUUAGGGAUGGAGAACUUGACAGUCACUCUGGGCUGGGGACACCCCAUAUUGCCAAUGACAGAGGAAGGAGUCAGAACCACAGGGUAGAGUGAGAUUAGACCAUAGACAAAUCUUGGCUUUCACCCCAAAUCUAUCAUACUUGUAGUUUGUGCUUUUCUGUCAACUUGAGAAAAACGGUGAACAAAAGCAAAAGGUAUAAUUAGCUGAACUUUCACUGCUUUAGCUUAAUAUGCCUAGAUAUUUUUAAAAGAAGAAAAACAUUAA